rnacentral:rRNA from 1 species
UACAGAGGGGGCAAGCGUUGUUCGGAAUUACUGGGCGUAAAGGGCGCGUAGGCGGCCUGUUAAGUCGAACGUGAAAUCCCCGGGCUCAACCCGGGAACUGCGUCCGAUACUGGCAGGCUUGAAUCCGGGAGAGGGAUGCGGAAUUCCAGGUGUAGCGGUGAAAUGCGUAGAUAUCUGGAGGAGCACCGGUGGCGAAGGCGGCAUCCUGGACCAACACUGACACUGAGGAGCGAAAGCCAGGGGAGCAAACGGG